rnacentral:rRNA from 1 species
GUGGGGGAUAUUGCACAAUGGGGGAAACCCUGAUGCAGCGACGCCGCGUGAGGGAAGACGGUUUUCGGAUUGUAAACCUCUGUCUUCGGGGACGAAUAAAUGACGGUACCCGAGGAGGAAGCCACGGCUAACUACGUGCCAGCAGCCGCGGUAAUACGUAGGUGGCAAGCGUUGUCCGGAUUUACUGGGUGUAAAGGGAGCGUAGGCGGGUAUGCAAGUUGAAUGUGAAAUCUAUCGGCUCAACCGGUAGCUGCGUUCAAAACUGUGUAUCUUGAGUGAAGUAGAGGUUGGCGGAAUUCCUAGUGUAGCGGUGAAAUGCGUAGAUAUUAGGAGGAACACCAGUGGCGAAGGCGGCCAACUGGGCUUUUACUGACGCUGAGGCUCGAAAGCGUGGGGAGCAAACAGGAUUAGAAACCCUAGUAGUCC